rnacentral:rRNA from 1 species
CCCUAUAGGUUACAGAUGCUGGAAUGCUCUGUAACCCAAAGUUCCGACGCCUUAGGAUGGAUCUGCGGCCGAUUAGGUUGUUGUUGGGGUAACGGCCCAACAAGCCAGUAAUCGGUACGGGUUGUGGGAGCAAGAGCCCGGAGUUGGAUUCUGAGACACGAAUCCAGGCCCUACGGGGCGCAGCAGGCGCGAAAACUUUACAAUGCGGGCAACCGUGAUAAGGGAACCUCGAGUGCCUGUAUAUGCAGGCUGUCCAGGUGUCUAAAUCACACCUGAAGAAAGGGCCGGGCAAGACCGGUGCCAGCCGCCGCGGUAAUACCGGCGGCUCGAGUGGUGGCCACUUUUAUUGGGCUUAAAGCGUUCGUAGCUGGGUUGUUAAGUCUCUUGGGAAAUCCGACGGCUCAACCGUCGGGCGUCUAAGAGAUACUGGCAAUCUUGGAACCGGGAGAGGUGAGGGGUACUUCGGGGGUAGGAGUGAAAUCCUGUAAUCCUCGAGGGACCACCUGUGGCGAAGGCGCCUCACCAGAACGGCUUCGACAGUGAGGGACGAAAGCUGGGGGAGCAAACCGGAUUAGAUACCCGGGUAGUCCCAGCCGUAAACGAUGCGCGUUAGGUGUAUCGACGACCACGAGUCGUCGAGGUGCCGAAGGGAAAACCGUG